rnacentral:lncRNA from 1 species
CUCAGAAGAGAAAGAGCUGAAAUGAAACCAAGAGCUUUGCCUGCUCUGAGCUUCUGUAGAAAAGAUUGAAGCGGGGGACCGGCACUUUCCAGCAAGGGCUGCGUGUAGCGCCCAUCGCCUCACGGGCCGCUCCCGGCCCUGCUGCCGCUCCCUCACAGAGCUGUGCCCACACGGCCCGCUGCCGCGGCCCGGCCGGCCGAGGAGCUGCCCCUGAGGGCAGGGGAAGGGAGGUGUCCUGCUCACCCUGCACCCCUGGGAAAGGGGUGCCAGCAGCCAGAGGCUCAGGAGGACCAGGUGAGGAGCAGCCCAUCGAGGAGAGUCAAGUGGUGGGGCCGGCUCUGUGCAGCCACAGAGCCCUCUUGUGUUGUCUGCUGGGUUGCAGACCAGCCAGAAGAGCAGCCGGUUCCUUUCACGAGACCAAGCAAGGCAACCUUCCUUUGGACCCAUCUCCGUUCAGUGCUGUCUCCCUUUGAGGGAAGCCACCUCAGGCACCGGGACUUUGUGCAGUGGAGACUAAUGAGAUUAAUGGCAGCAACACAAAGAGUAAGGGUAUGCAAAGGCCAUAGGAGAGGUCACAAAGCAUCUUGUGCCACAUGGUGUUGUAGCUGUCCUGAAAGCUGCCAGGAAAGCUCAGCUCCUGUCCUUCGGAAAACCAUCUCGAGAAUGAAGUCAGGAGCUGCUCUAAAUUCAGCCACUGUCCCUUCAGGAUGGGCUAGGGAUGUACAAAGCAAAAGCCUGCUGCCUUGAUGUAUACAUUGUGUAGGCUGUAAGGAGCAUCUCUAGCACAGAGCAAGGCAGAGGAAUGGGAUCCAGUGGCUGUACAGGGAAUAACAGCUCUGAACUACUCUGUGAAUGAAGCAAUAGAGGAGACCAGCUUUGCCUUGAUGGAGGGUGCACGUGGGCCUGCAGGAAUAAUUUGAAAGGAUUGGACUUUGAAAAAUUCUCUGCAGCCAAGCUAAGAAAGCCUUCAUUGGGCUGACCUGAUGUGUUGAAAUGUCUUUCAUAGCUCAGUUCUGAAAGCCUUCCUGUCCGAACCUGAAACCUCUUUGUCACUAUUAUACCCUGAGCCAUCACACAGAGCCCAUUUUUUGCCAUUCAACUGUUCUGCCCACAUGAAAGGAUGGAGCUUAGUCUCACCUGGAACUAUCACCAAUGUUGCACUGUUCUGUGGCCAAAACCCGUGCCAGGAACAGCCACUGAAUGUCACACAACUGAUUGAUAUGGCAAAGUGGUGAAUUUUGGGAUGCACAGCUUUGGGUCCUGUCUCCCAGGCUUGCUGAACCUCAGAAGCCUGAGCAGAAACAUGUGGUCUUCUUUGACUCUUUGUAGGUUCCAUGUCCCAAAUGCUGAUAGCAAGACUGAGGUAAUUUCAGGUGCUGAGAAUGAGUAAUUGCAAAUUCUCAUUCUCUGCAUAUGUAUGGCUAACAGUAAACAGCUGGUCAGGAGUAUCUGGCUCUUGGACUAGUUGACUUGAAGUCCUGUAGCUUCAGUGAAUUUUAAAACAGGGCUUUCCAGGGGAUCUUCAAAAUACUGACCUCUGGCAAGAAAGAUCAUAAUUUGCUGAAAUAAUCAAAGCUUGGCAUAUAACAGCCUCAGGACCCUUUCUCCCUUUGCCCCAGACUUACAUUGAAUGAAUUUAAUGCCCUGGUAGCUGUAGUGUCUUGCUUCAUACAAACACUAACAGUGAAUUGGUCCAACAGUUGUGCUGGAAAUAGCAUGCUAUCUCUUUGCCUCCUCCUUCUCUUCCUCCUGCCUGUCAUUUUUGUUUGCUUGCUUGCUUUUGUUUUUCUUUCUUGGCAUGGGAGAUUUAUCAUAUUUGGGAUAUAGAUUCCUGGGGCCAUGAAAAGCUUGAGAAAACUUUAACAGUGUUUUUGGGGCCUUAAAAUUCAAAAUCUUAAGCUUGGUUAAGUAAGCAAGUCUGGGCAAAUGGUGAAUGCCAGUGAUCUGCUCUUUUGAAAUGGAGAGCUAUCUUAGUGGAACAGACUCUGCUUUGAAUCAGGUAAAAUGUAUAAAAUGUACCACCUCAGACACACCUCACACUGACAGGCAUGAGCUGUGUGCAGAUUGGUAAAAUCUGUCUGUGUUUUCCCUGGUGUUUUUCUUGAGUGCAAGCAUUUGUUCUACUUUGACUUUAAUUAGUCCCUCAUAGUGCUGCUCUGACAGACUAAAUUAGGUGUCAGUAAUAAUAUACUUUGUAAAUGCUAUGUCUGUACAGAAAUUCUCCAUGCCAAGGCUAGGAUUAUUUUCCAUGUCUAUCCACUGCACGUAAUUAUCCAUUAAUGUAGAAAUAUAUGAGGAGCACUGGCUACGUCUUAUAUUGUUCCAUUUCUCAGGUAUUACUCCUGUUAUUAGUGGCUUAUCCACAGGACAGCAAGUCUGCUCCUCAAUCAAGUGAAAUAAAUGUUUAAUAUGGAGAUAAGGUGUAGCA